GGUAUCGAGACUUUAUGGCUGAUAAUUCCUUUAUGAGCGUUACUGGAUUUUUCUCUCCUGCUGAAUCAUGAUGAUUAGACUUGAUUUCAUAUUCCAGCCUGUACUGAAUAUAAUCCAGAUCAGAGUCAGCUUUCUGGAACAUCAGUUCUAGCUUAUCGACCUCCGCCUCCAUGUUGAAUAGUUUAAAAACUUCACUU